rnacentral:tRNA from 2 species
UCCUCAGUAGCUCAGUUGGUAGAGCAGUUGACUGUUAAUCAAUUGGUCGCAAGUUCGAGUCUUGCCUGAGGAGCCA